GCUUAACACAUGCAAGUCGAGCGGUAACAUUUCUAGCUUGCUAGAAGAUGACGAGCGGCGGACGGGUGAGUAACGCGUAGGAAUCUGCCUAGUAGUGGGGGACAACAUGUGGAAACGCAUGCUAAUACCGCAUACGCCCUACGGGGGAAAGGAGGGGAUCUUCGGACCUUUCGCUAUUAGAUGAGCCUGCGUGAGAUUAGCUAGUUGGUGGGGUAAAGGCCUACCAAGGCGACGAUCUCUAGCUGGUCUGAGAGGAUGAUCAGCCACACUGGGACUGAGACACGGCCCAGACUCCUACGGGAGGCAGCAGCGGGGAAUAUUGGACAAUGGGCGCAAGCCUGAUCCAGCCAUGCCGCGUGUGUGAAGAAGGCCUUAGGGUUGUAAAGCACUUUCAGGAGUGAGGAAGGGCGUGCAGUUAAUACCUGUAUGUCUUGACGUUAACUCCAGAAGAAGCACCGGCUAACUCUGUGCCAGCAGCCGCGGUAAUACAGAGGGUGCGAGCGUUAAUCGGAAUUACUGCGCGUAAAGCGCGCGU
rnacentral:rRNA from 1 species